rnacentral:rRNA from 1 species
UACGAAGGGGGCUAGCGUUGCUCGGAAUCACUGGGCGUAAAGCGCACGUAGGCGGCUUUCUAAGUCAGGGGGUGAAAUCCUGGAGCUCAACUCCAGAACUGCCUUUGAUACUGGAGAGCUUGAGUCCGGAAGAGGUGAGUGGAACUCCGAGUGUAGAGGUGAAAUUCGUAGAUAUUCGGAAGAACACCAGUAGCGAAGGCGGCUCACUGGUCCGGUACUGACGCUGAGGUGCGAAAGCGUGGGGAGCAAACAGG